rnacentral:misc_RNA from 1 species
UAAUAUAGUGUUGGUUAAACGAAAAAGACACAAUAUCUUGUGUUUUGUAUGCAAAUGCUUUAUUUAUGAAGAAAUUACAUUUAAAAGUAAUUUAACACAGAAAUUUAAUAGUUAUUAUCAAUGAAUAGUCAUAUUUUUUAGAAAAUGUACUGAGCAAAUGGAAGGUAUCUAAUGAUCUAAACACUACAUAUAGUGAUUUUUAUACAUUCAACCCAUAUAAGCUACUAUUUUCUCAAAUAUAAAUCUAUGC